rnacentral:rRNA from 1 species
UGCCAGCCGCCGCGGUAAUACGGGGGGCGCAAGCGUUAUUCGGAAUUAUUGGGCGUAAAGGGCGCGUAGGCGGUCUUGUCGGUCAGAUGUGAAAGCCCGGGGCUCAACCCUGGAAGUGCAUUUGAAACAGCAAGACUUGAAUACUGGAGAGGAGAGCGGAAUUCCUGGUGUAGAGGUGAAAUUCGUAGAGAUCUGAAGGAACAUCAGUGGCGAAGGCGACCUCCUGGACUGAUAUUGACGCUGAGGUGCGAAAGCGUGGGGAGCAAACAGGAUUAGAUA